GUGGGCUCAGCCGGGGCUGCCGCGAGCGUGCGGGCCGCGCCGGGCAUGUCCUAGGCGGCGGCCCCGCCCAGCGCUCGGCCGGCGGGCGGGAGGGCCGGGGCCGAGCCGGGGCCGAGCCGGGGCCGAGCCGCAGGGCCGGACAGGCCUGGCCAGUGCCAAGAUGAGUGUCACCUCCUGGUUUCUGGUGAGCAGCAGUGGUAACCGCCACCGGCUUCCGCGAGAGCUCAUCUUCGUGGGGCGUGAUGAGUGUGAGCUCAUGCUGCAGUCUGUGUGUCCCCAGUCCCGCAGCGUGGACAAGCAGCAUGCUGUCAUCAACUACGAUCAGGACAGGGAUGAGCACUGGGUGAAGGACCUGGGAAGCCUGAACGGGACCUUCGUGAAUGACGUGCGCAUCCCGGACCAGAAGUACGUCACGCUGAAGCUCCAUGACGUCAUCCGAUUCGGCUACGAUUCCAACAUGUACGUGCUGGAGCGCGUGCAGCACCGGGUCCCCGAGGAGGCGCUCAGGCACGAGAAGUAUACCAGCCAGCUGCAGGUGAGCGUCAAGGGCCCGGCCCCCAGGAAGGGCGAAGCGCUGCCCCAGCACACCCCUUACUGCGAGUCCUUGGGUCCCAGGCCGGAGAGGGGGGACCGGAGGCCAGGGGCAGAGACGGCGGCCUACCGCACACCCCUGUAUGGGCAGCCCUCCUGGUGGGGGGAGGACGACAGCGGCAGCCCCCCCGAGGACCGGCGCCAGGAGGAGCCCUACGCAGAGCGGCCCAAGGAGCCGGCCCAGCCGGACGGGGAGCUCCCAGGGACGAUUGGCUUCCGGGCGGCGGCGGAGCCUCAGGGCUGCUCGUUCAGGCGGGAGCCCAGUUACUUUGAGAUCCCCACGAAGGAGGCCCCGCCGCCGCCGCCACCGCCGCGGCCCCCUGCGGCGCCGGCCCACGAGGCUCCCGCCACGGCCCCCAUGGUGCAGAGCCACGCCUCCUUCACCAUCGAGUUCGACAACUGCAGCCCCGGCAAGGUGAAGAUCAAGGACCACGUCACCAAGUUCUCGCUGCGCCAGAGACGGCCCCCAGACAAGGAGGCCACACCUGUGGAGGCCGUGUCUGCCGAGACCAAGGUGGCCGACUGGCUGGCGCAGAGCGACCCGAGCCUGCUGUGCCGGGCGGGCCCUGGGGAUGACCGCCACAGCACCAAGAGCGACCUGCCCGUCCACACCCGCACCCUGAAGGGCCACAAGCAUGAGGACGGCACGCAGAGCGACUCGGAGGACCCCGCGGCCAAGGCAGCGGUGGCGACGGCCGGGGUCCCUGCAGAGGGCAGCGGGACGCAGGCGCGGCUGCACAGACAGAUGAAGCGGGACCCCCAGGAGCUGCUGCAUAGCCAGCAGGCCUUUGUCAUCGAGUUCUUCGACCAGGACACGCCCCGCAAGAAGCGCUCCCAGUCCUUCACGCACACCCCUCCGGGGGACCCCAAGGCCGACAAGCGCCGAGGCCCCGGGCCGGCGGACAGAGACCGCUCAGGCGUCCCUGCUUCGGCGCGGGGGGCAGGCGGCAGCUCGGGGCCGCAGCGGGCCAGCUCACUCAAGCGGGAGAGGACAGAGGAGCGCCUGGGGGGCCCCUCGCCCGCCUCCCGGGGCUCUGUGCGACCCUUUGGCAGCGUGGGGCGCCGCUCCCGUCUGGCCCAGGACUUCAUGGCCCAGUGCCCGCGGGAGGGCUCCCCGGCCACCCGGCCCGGCCCUGACAAGGCAUCCCCAGCGUCACCGGCCCCCGAGACACCCCGUGGGGCCAGCCCCGUGGCCCCUGCGACCCCACCACCGCCCCCUGCCGACCCCCAGCUGAGCAAGGCUCGCAAACAGGAUGAGGACGACAGCCUGAGCGAUGCGGGGACCUACACCAUCGAGACAGAGGGGCAGGACCCAGAGGUGGAGGAGGCGCGCCAGAUGAUCGACCAGGUCUUUGGGGUACUUGAGUCUCCUGAGCUCUCCAGGGUAUCCUCGGUCACCUUCCGUCCAGUCAUCAGAGGGGACAGAGACGAGGCCAGUGACGGGGUCGCCCAGCGAAUGGCGCUCCUGCAGGAGUUUGCCUCCCGGUCGGUGGGCAUAGCCCCCCAAGGGGAGCUCCAGGGCCUCCCGGUGCCGGGCUCCCCUGGGGGUCAGAAAUGGGUGUCCCGCUGGGCCAGCCUGGCCGACAGCUACUCAGACCCAGGCCUGGCAGGGGAGAGCCCUGGGCACAGAGCGGGGGAGCUGGAGGGGACCCUGCCUGUGCGCCAGCGACGGCGACUCCCACAGCUGCCCAGCGACCGCGCAGACAGCCCUGGGGGCCUCGAGGCCACCAAGAGGAGCGGCCCUGGGCCUCCGGAGCCGGGCAGUGAGCAGGCCGGCUGCCUCUUGGGCCAGGAGGACUUGGAGCCUGACAGCCUCAGUGAUGCCAGUGGGUCUGAUGGUGGGCGGGGCUCCGAGCUGGGUGGGGGCCCGCAGGAGGAGAGACGCAGGAGCCCCCAGGAGGGACCAGCAUGGACGAAGGGCCGGCGCUCGCCAAGGGCCCCUGGAGAGCCAGCCCCCGCCUCUUUCUUCAUUGGGGACCAGAACGCGGAGACAGCCUUCCCCAGGAAGCCAUCGGUGGCUGCAGGGGAGGUGGACGGCCCAGGGCGGGUGGCGAGGGACGGCGUCUCCGUCAGCUCCAGCGGGAGGAUGGUUAUCCAGCUGCGGACAGAGCGGUCCCCAGAGCCCGAGAGCCCUGCCCCGGCCUUGGUGCGACAGGAUAGCUUCAGCAAGGAGCCGGCUGGUGGCCCCCCAGCGCCCGGCCAGCUUCCACGCAUCUCCAGCCACCCCCUCCUGCAGGACCUGGCUGCCGCCCGGGCCUCACGCAUGGACCUGCACCCCCAGGACACCCACCUGAUCCUGAAGGAGACAGAGACAGCCCUGGCAGCCCUGGAGGCCCGGCUGUUCUCCAAGUCCACGGAGGAGGCAGAGGGCCCGAUGGGCAGCACCCCCGGGCCGCCAGACGACUCCCUGUCCGGGGACUCUGACGUGGACACGGGGAGCACAGUCAGCCUGGUCAGUGGUAAGAACGGGCCCAGCCCAACCAGUCCCCAGCCCGCGGGGCCGCAGAAGGAGAAGCCACUGUGCCCACCAGCAGCACAGGACCCGGGGAGCGUCUCCUCGAACAGCGCCCGCGAGCGGCUCUCGGACAAGCAUCGUCGCACUCCGGGCCCCAUGGACGUGGGCCGUGCAGAGCUGGGGAGGCGCCUGGCCGUGCGGUGUGGCACCGGGGCCCGGGCAUCCGCGGACUGGCCUGACGAAGAGCGAGGCUCCGGCCUGGCCCACCCGCCUGGCGCAGACACGGUCAUCUCUGACCACGAGACCCCUGUGGCCCCUGGGGCGGGGCGGCCAGGGCCUCGCCGGAAACCGGCACCUGCAGCGCCAUCCCCGGCUCCACGGGAAGAGCAGGGCCGUGGCUCCGCCCAGAAGGUGCAGCAGGUGCUGACCCGCUCCAACAGCCUGUCCACCCCUCGGCCCACACGGGCCUCCCGGCUGAGGCGGGCCCGGCUGGGGGAUGCCUCGGACACGGAGGCUGCCGAUGGCGAACGGGGGCCCCCGGCCAACCCCGAGCCGGCGGGGCGGCCAGCCCCCGAGCAGGCCAAGAAGCUGUCGCGCCUGGACAUCCUGGCCAUGCCCCGAAAGCGGGCAGGCUCCUUCACCGGGCCCAGCGACUCCGAGGCGGCCCCCGCCCGCGCCGGCUUCUCUGGCCGCAGCAUCGACUUGUACUGCUCUGGCCGUAAACCCGUUGUGGCCGAGGCUCGGGCCGCCGCUGCCAGGAAGGCUGCCAAUACCACCACGGCCCCCCGCCAGCCCUUUAGCAGGGCCCGCCCGGGCAGUGCCCGAUACUCCUCACCCAGCACGCGUCGCCGGCAGCAGGGCUCGGAUUGCACGUCCACAUCCGAGGAGGAGUACGGCUCCCACCACGGCUCCCCCCCACACACACACUCCCAUGCCUCAACAGCCACGCAGACCCCGCGGGCUGGCAGCUCCAGCCGGACUCGCUCCCGGGCCCCCAUCCCCCGGGACACAGAUGAUGAGGAAGAAGAUCCUGACCCCUACGGCUUUAUUGUGCAGACGGCAGAGAUCGCUGAGAUCGCCAGGCUGAGCCAGACACUAGUGAAGGAUGUGGCCAUCCUGGCCCGGGAGAUCCACGACGUGGCUGGGGACGGCGACUCGCUGGGCUCGCCGGGGCCCGCCCGCAGCCCCUCCCUCAGCAACGUGCCCAGCACCCCUGCUUCAACCAUCUCCGCCCGUGAGGAGCUGGUGCAGCGCAUCCCCGAGGCCAGCCUCAACUUCCAGAAGGUGCCCCCUGGCUCCCUGAGCUCUCGAGACUUGGACCAGAACAUGAACGACCGCUGUGAGGACCCCCUCGCCAGCAAGAUGCGGCCUCGGAGCCGCGAGGAGGUGAUCUUUGACAACCUGAUGCUGAACCCCGUGUCCCAGCUGUCCCACGCCAUCCGGGAGAACACGGAGCACCUCGCCGAGAAGAUGAAGAUCCUCUUUCAGAACACAGGGCGUGCCUGGGAGGAGGUGGAAGCCAGAAUCAACUCGGAGAACGAGGUGCCCAUCCUGAAGACAUCCAACAAGGAGAUCAGCUCCAUCCUGAAAGAACUGAGGCGCGUGCAGAAGCAACUGGAAGUCAUCAACGCCAUCGUGGACCCCAGCGGGAACCUGGACCUGCUGACCGGGAACCGGGGCUCCGCGGGCUCGGCCCAGCUGGGGAAAGGCCGGCCGGCUGCCCAGAGCCCAUCCUCGCCCCCCUCGGCCCUGCCUCUGAGGAGCUUCCCACAGCGGGCGAACUGCGGGUCCCCGGGCCUCCCGGACCCUGCCUUCCUGCCCGACUUCCUCCCCGAUGCCGAGAGGUUCCUGAUCUAGGCGGCCGGGGCCGGGGCGGCCUCCACGUGCCCUGGGUCCAGCACCUCCGGCCCCUUGUCUGCCGCCACGGCCCUUCCCGGCUGCGGACCGUUCGCCACAGACCCCCACGUGCCAUAACCCUGUGGGCAGGUGCCUCUGUGCCCACAGCCCUCCCUAGCUCCCAGCCGGCGCCCCAGCUGGACGGCCCAGCCCCUGUGGCCACCCCCGCUGGCCUCCUGGCCCAGCUCCUGCUGUGGCCUCCGCCAAGGGCCGGCGUCACAGACCAGGCAUGCUGCAAUGCCCAGACCUUGCCACCAGGGGGUGCUGUGGGCGAGAAAGCAGCAGGGAAGUUUCAGACGUUGCUCCUCAAAAGAGAAGUUAUUUUAUUCCAACAUUCAAGGACAGGACGACCAGAAGCACCCUCAGUGUCUGUGGGACCUGUUUCCGUGCUCUCAUUUUCACCCUAAAUAGUGGUGAUUCAUACCUUCCCUCUCUCUUGCUCAGUCUUGCUGGGGUCUACCAAUUUUGUUACUUUUUGUCUGUCCACACGCACUCAGGACAGAGGACUCGUGCCCAGCAGGAGCAGAGGUGAAAUUACGAAUCCUGCUCAGAGCUGAGUGUCCUCAAGGCUGUACGCACAGGGAGAAGGGUAAGAGAACCCUACCCAGGGCCCGGGAGAGAGCAGGGAAGCUCAUCUCUUUCCCAGGCUCUGGGUGGGAGUAAAAAACCUGCGGUCAGAAAUGGAAACCUCAGAGAAUGCCGAGCAGCUAGUAAACAGAGCUAAAGACGCACCUGAGGCGGCUGGACGUCAGCAGGAUGCAAAGGUUGAGGUGAAGACCUGCAGCAGGGGAGUCGGAGGCACAGGACGCGGGGUGUAGAAGCUCAGCACACACUUCGCCUGAGUUUCACAAUGUGAGGAUACAGAAAAUAGGCAGAGGCCGUAGCCAAAGAGAUAACGGCUGAGAAUGUUCUAGAAAUGAUCACAGGCAUGAAUCCUCCACUUUAAGAGCUCCAAGCCCCAAGGUGGGUGGAUGAGAACCAUCCUCACCUGGACACGCCACGCUGAAACCCAGAAGACCCAAGACAGAGAGAAAACCUUCAAAGCAAACGGGGAGGUAAGAGAAGCAGCCUUCAGAGGGACAGCAGGUGGACGGACGCCCAUUCCUCCACGGGGAGCCGCGUCCGAGGUCGGGACCUUCAGCGACUGGAAGAGAAUUGUCACCCAGCUAAACCGUCAUUCCAGAGUGAGGGAGAGACAUUCUCGGACGGUGAAGCCUCGAGCUUUCCUGCUUUCCCAGCCGGGAUGCAAGAAUCCAGGAAGGAUGGGAGCUUGGAGAAGGAGGGAUGUGCAAGCCCACCGAGUGAAGAGACCGGGAAAUGGGUGGCACAUCUCAGUAGCCCCUGAGCAGGAGACCAUGACAAUGACUGGGGAGCAUCCCAGAAAAGGGGGGCUGGCACCCCAGAGGUAAAUGAACAGAAUCCCCGAGGCAGUUGUUGGAAGCACAGUUCCUUUUGUUCAGAGGGUGGAGAGAACACUUAGCAGCAGGCUCAAAGCCCAGCCUCCCGUUAGAUGCCAGGGUGGCCAGCCAGGGAGGGGAAGACGAGGGAGUUUGCUUCCAGCCACGUGGUGGAUUCAGGACUUCGAAGAGCAAGACGUGGAUAAAGGAUGACGAAAACGCACGCAAAUGCUUUGUCAGACUCCACGGAGCACGCCUUGGCUGGACUGGGGCCACGGUUGCAGCUCGGUGAGGCCCGGUUAGGCCCUGGUCUGCCUGAUGCCGGGGGUUCUGCCUCAGCUGGGGGUUCGCCCGAUGCUGGGGGACCUGCCCGACAUUGGGGGACCUGCCCAAUGCUGGGAGAUCUGCAUGAUGCUGGAGGUUCACCCGAUGUUGGGGGGCCUGCCCGACACUGGGGGGCCUGCCCGACACUGGGGGAUCUGUGUGAUGCUGGGGGUUCUGCCCCAGCUGGGGGGGCCUGCCCGACACUGGGGGGUCUGCCCAAUGCUGGGAGUGAUCGAGGACCACUCUCCCCGUCAGCACCCAAAGGUGGACAACCCACUUGCCGGCGAAUGAACUUGCGGAAACCUGUUGGUGUCCACCUCCGCUUUGGGUAAAAAACAAAAGGAAACAAACUCUGUUGUGUGAAGGGGGCCCAUGGGUAGACGUGGGGUGAAGCAGAUGACGUGCUCAUGGGAGCAGCCCGGUGUGCAGCCCACGGACUUGUGGAGAGGCCACACCGGACCAGGGGGCUGCAGUGAAUUAGCCAUUCUUGUCAUUUCUAUAAACUGAUGUUUUAUUACAAUCAGCCCCAAGCAAACUGGUCCUCACGAUGGACACCAGGAGCCUUGAGAGAGUUGUAAGCUCCGCAUUCACACCGCAGGGAACACAGGCUCACGGACUCCCCAGGGGCAUGCGUAGCCUAAGGCUGCUCCCUGGCCCCGCUCUCCUUCCCGCAGAAACCGCGGGCAAGCAGUGCUCCCAGCUGCCCCCUCCGCCUGUGCCCAAGCCCCGCGCUGCCCUGGGGUCCCGUGCCGGCUGUGAGGAUAAUAACCAUAAACCUUUCCCACACGUGUGGGGUCCUGCCAGACCUCACCUGCAAGGACACGAUUAAAACAGGGAGUCGGACCGCACCCCUGAAGAUGUGGGAGCAUCAGGGGUCACCUGGGGGGCGGCUUCAUCAUAAAGGGGACCUUCUGGGUCUCGGGACUCGGUGUCAGCUCCUUCUUUCCUCGGUCUAACUCAGAAACCUUGCCCCCGCAUCCUUCUAAGCUCUAGACAGAAGGAACAACGAGCCCGGGGGGACUGGCCCUUCCAGCCUCCAAGGCUGGGACAGUAAAUGCCUGCUGUGUGAGCCGCCGAGGCGCAGCUCUGCGCUGCAGGAGCUCCAGCAAGCCGGCGAACACGCUCCGUAGGCACGGGAAGCACACGCGGUGUGUGCCACACGGGAUCAGGAAAGGAAACUGUUGGUGGCGCCCGGCUGGCUCAGUCCAUACAGUGUGUGACUCUUGAUCUCGGGGUCAUGAGUUCGAGCUCUGCAUUGGGUGUAGAGAUGACUUAAAUAAAUAAACUUAAAAAAAAAAAGGAAGCCACCUAGCUACACCCUAGUAACAGUGAAGAACACCACAGACAAGGAGAAGGUUUUAAAAACAACCACAGAGUAAAGAAAUCCCUUACACAGGAAUGAUGGCAGUUCUCAGCAAUAACAGGACCCUAAGGACCUCGGAUUCCAGGGAAAAUAACUGUCUAUCAAGAAUUCUGUGCCUGGAGGGGCGCCUGGGUGGCUCAGUCGUUAAGUGUCUGCCUUCAGGGCGCCUGGGUGGCUCAGUCGGUUAAGCGACCGCCUUCGGCUCAGGUCAUGAUCCUGGAGUCCCGGGAUCGAGUCCCGCAUCAGGCUCCCUGCUCGGCAGGGGGUCUGCUUCUCCCUCUGACCCUCCUCCCUCUCAUGCUCUCUGUCUCUCAUUCUCUCUCUCUCAAAUAAAUAAAUAAAUAAAUAAAAUUUAAAAGUGUCUGCCUUCAGCUUGGCUCAGGUCGUGAUCGCAGGUCCCAGGAUCGAGCCGCGCAUCGGGCUCCCUGCUCCUUGGGAAAACUGCUUCUCCCUCUGCCACUCCCCCUGCUUGUGU